GACGAACGCUGGCGGCGUGCUUAACACAUGCAAGUCGAACGGAAAGGCCCUGCUUUUGUGGGGUGCUCGAGUGGCGAACGGGUGAGUAACACGUGAGUAACCUGCCCUUGACUUUGGGAUAACUUCAGGAAACUGGGGCUAAUACCGGAUAGGAGCUCCUGCUGCAUGGUGGGGGUUGGAAAGUUUCGGCGGUUGGGGAUGGACUCGCGGCUUAUCAGCUUGGUGGUGGGGUAGUGGCUUACCAAGGCUUUGACGGGUAGCCGGCCUGUGAGGGUGACCGGCAACAUUGGGACUGAGAUACGACCCAGACUCCUACGGGAGGCAGCAGUGGGGAAUAUUGCACAAUGGGCGGAAGCCUGAUGCAGCAACGCCGCGUGCGGGAUGACGGCCUUCGGGUUGUAAACCGCUUUCGCCUGUGACGAAGCGUGAGUGACGGUAAUGGGUAAAGAAGCACCGGCUAACUACGU
rnacentral:rRNA from 1 species